GGGGGGGGGGGGCGGGGGGGGGGGUGGGGGGGGGGCGGGGGGGCGGGCGAGGGGGUGGCUCCUCUGACGUUGGGGGCGGGCGGGGGGGUAACACGUGGGUACCCUACCUGUACGGCUGGGAUAACUUCGGGAAACCGGAGCUAAUACCGGAUCAUCUAUUGAACCGCAUGGUUCACUAGUGAAAGACGGUUUUGCUGUCACUUAUAGAUGGCUCCGCGCCGCAUUAGCUCGUUGGUAAGGUAACGGCGUACCAAGGCAACGAUGCGUAGCCGACCUGAGAGGGUGAUCGGCCACACUGGAACUGAGACACGGUCCAGACUCCUACGGGAGGCAGCAGUAGGGAAUCUUCCGCAAUGGGCGAAAGCUUGACGGAGCAACGCCGCGUGAGUGAUGAAGGUCUUCGGAUCGUAAAACUCUGUUAUUAGGGAAGAACAAAUGUGUAAGUAACUAUGCACGUCUUGACGGUACCUAAUCAGAAAGCCACGGCUAACUACGUG
rnacentral:rRNA from 1 species